rnacentral:lncRNA from 1 species
UUCUAUGGGUACCCUUUCACUCAAACUUUGUCAUGGUAUAUAUAGUGAGCAUGUAGGGUUUCUUUAUUUUUUAAAUGGCAAUAGUGCCCUUGGAGUGUUAUUUUAGAGAUAAAAUAAGAUAAAACAAAUUAAAUUAAAUUAAAUUAACACUUUAAAAAUAAUCACAGUAAAAAUGAAACAAUACUACAGUUAAAUCUAUUUAUUUUUUAUGAACGUUUUGAU